UACGUAGGGGGCAAGCGUUGUCCGGAAUUACUGGGCGUAAAGAGCGUGUAGGCGGGCAUUUAAGUCAGGUGUGAAAGACCGGGGCUCAACUCCGGGAUUGCAUUUGAAACUGGAUAUCUUGAGGGCAGGAGAGGAAAGCGGAAUUCCUGGUGUAGCGGUGAAAUGCGUAGAUAUCAGGAGGAACACCGGUGGCGAAGGCGGCUUUCUGGACUGUCCCUGACGCUGAGACGCGAAAGCGUGGGGAGCAAAC
rnacentral:rRNA from 1 species